AGCGUCGGUGAGGUGAUAUGAACCGUUAUAACCGGCGAUUUCCGAAUGGGGAAACCCAGUGUGUUUCGACACACUAUCAUUAACUGAAUCCAUAGGUUAAUGAGGCGAACCGGGGGAACUGAAACAUCUAAGUACCCCGAGGAAAAGAAAUCAACCGAGAUUCCCCCAGUAGCGGCGAGCGAACGGGGAGGAGCCCAGAGCCUGAAUCAGUGUGUGUGUUAGUGGAAGCGUCUGGAAAGGCGUGCGAUACAGGGUGACAGCCCCGUACACAAAAAUGCACAUAUUGUGAGCUCGAUGAGUAGGGCGGGACACGUGGUAUCCUGUCUGAAUAUGGGGGGACCAUCCUCCAAGGCUAAAUACUCCUGACUGACCGAUAGUGAACCAGUACCGUGAGGGAAAGGCGAAAAGAACCCCGGCGAGGGGAGUGAAAAAGAACCUGAAACCGUGUACGUACAAGCAGUGGGAGCCUCUUAAUGGGGUGACUGCGUACCUUUUGUAUAAUGGGUCAGCGACUUAUAUUCUGUAGCAAGGUUAACCGAAUAGGGGAGCCGAAGGGAAACCGAGUCUUAACUGGGCGUUAAGUUGCAGGGUAUAGACCCGAAACCCGGUGAUCUAGCCAUGGGCAGGUUGAAGGUUGGGUAACACUAACUGGAGGACCGAACCGACUAAUGUUGAAAAAUUAGCGGAUGACUUGUGGCUGGGGGUGAAAGGCCAAUCAAACCGGGAGAUAGCUGGUUCUCCCCGAAAGCUAUUUAGGUAGCGCCUCGUGAAUUCAUCUCCGGGGGUAGAGCACUGUUUCGGCAAGGGGGUCAUCCCGACUUACCAACCCGAUGCAAACUGCGAAUACCGGAGAAUGUUAUCACGGGAGACACACGGCGGGUGCUAACGUCCGUCGUGAAGAGGGAAACAACCCAGACCGCCAGCUAAGGUCCCAAAGUCAUGGUUAAGUGGGAAACGAUGUGGGAAGGCCCAGACAGCCAGGAUGUUGGCUUAGAAGCAGCCAUCAUUUAAAGAAAGCGUAAUAGCUCACUGGUCGAGUCGGCCUGCGCGGAAGAUGUAACGGGGCUAAACCAUGCACCGAAGCUGCGGCAGCGACGCUUAUGCGUUGUUGGGUAGGGGAGCGUUCUGUAAGCCUGUGAAGGUGGCCUGUGAGGGUUGCUGGAGGUAUCAGAAGUGCGAAUGCUGACAUAAGUAACGAUAAAGCGGGUGAAAAGCCCGCUCGCCGGAAGACCAAGGGUUCCUGUCCAACGUUAAUCGGGGCAGGGUGAGUCGACCCCUAAGGCGAGGCCGAAAGGCGUAGUCGAUGGGAAACAGGUUAAUAUUCCUGUACUUGGUGUUACUGCGAAGGGGGGACGGAGAAGGCUAUGUUGGCCGGGCGACGGUUGUCCCGGUUUAAGCGUGUAGGCUGGUUUUCCAGGCAAAUCCGGAAAACCAAGGCUGAGGCGUGAUGACGAGGCACUACGGUGCUGAAGCGACAAAUGCCCUGCUUCCAGGAAAAGCCUCUAAGCAUCAGGUAACAUCAAAUCGUACCCCAAACCGACACAGGUGGUCAGGUAGAGAAUACCAAGGCGCUUGAGAGAACUCGGGUGAAGGAACUAGGCAAAAUGGUGCCGUAACUUCGGGAGAAGGCACGCUGAUAUGUAGGUGAAGCGACUUGCUCGUGGAGCUGAAAUCAGUCGAAGAUACCAGCUGGCUGCAACUGUUUAUUAAAAACACAGCACUGUGCAAACACGAAAGUGGACGUAUACGGUGUGACGCCUGCCCGGUGCCGGAAGGUUAAUUGAUGGGGUUAGCGGUAACGCGAAGCUCUUGAUCGAAGCCCCGGUAAACGGCGGCCGUAACUAUAACGGUCCUAAGGUAGCGAAAUUCCUUGUCGGGUAAGUUCCGACCUGCACGAAUGGCGUAAUGAUGGCCAGGCUGUCUCCACCCGAGACUCAGUGAAAUUGAACUCGCUGUGAAGAUGCAGUGUACCCGCGGCAAGACGGAAAGACCCCGUGAACCUUUACUAUAGCUUGACACUGAACAUUGAGCCUUGAUGUGUAGGAUAGGUGGGAGGCUUUGAAGUGUGGACGCCAGUCUGCAUGGAGCCGACCUUGAAAUACCACCCUUUAAUGUUUGAUGUUCUAACGUUGGCCCGUAAUCCGGGUUGCGGACAGUGUCUGGUGGGUAGUUUGACUGGGGCGGUCUCCUCCUAAAGAGUAACGGAGGAGCACGAAGGUUGGCUAAUCCUGGUCGGACAUCAGGAGGUUAGUGCAAUGGCAUAAGCCAGCUUGACUGCGAGCGUGACGGCGCGAGCAGGUGCGAAAGCAGGUCAUAGUGAUCCGGUGGUUCUGAAUGGAAGGGCCAUCGCUCAACGGAUAAAAGGUACUCCGGGGAUAACAGGCUGAUACCGCCCAAGAGUUCAUAUCGACGGCGGUGUUUGGCACCUCGAUGUCGGCUCAUCACAUCCUGGGGCUGAAGUAGGUCCCAAGGGUAUGGCUGUUCGCCAUUUAAAGUGGUACGCGAGCUGGGUUUAGAACGUCGUGAGACAGUUCGGUCCCUAUCUGCCGUGGGCGCUGGAGAACUGAGGGGGGCUGCUCCUAGUACGAGAGGACCGGAGUGGACGCAUCACUGGUGUUCGGGUUGUCAUGCCAAUGGCACUGCCCGGUAGCUAAAUGCGGAAGAGAUAAGUGCUGAAAGCAUCUAAGCACGAAACUUGCCCCGAGAUGAGUUCUCCCUGAGACUUAGAGUCUCCUGAAGGAACGUUGAAGACGACGACGUUGAUAGGCCGGGUGUGUAAGCGCAGCGAUGCGUUGAGCUAACCGGUACUAAUGAACCGUGAGGCUUAACCUU
rnacentral:rRNA from 1 species